GAUGAAGAACGCAGCGAAAUGCGAUACGUAAUGUGAAUUGCAGAAUUCAGUGAAUCAUCGAGUCUUUGGACGCACAUUGCGCCCCCUGGUAUUCCGGGGGGCAUGCCUGUCCGAGCGUCAUUGCUGCCCUCAAGCACGGCUUGUGUGUUGGGCCUCCGUCCUCCUCCCGGGGGACGGGCCCGAAAGGCAGCGGCGGCACCGCGUCCGGUCCUCGAGCGUAUGGGGCUUCGUCACCCGCUCUUGUAGGCCCGGCCGGCGCUUGCCGACACAUCAAUCUUUUUUCCAGGUUGACCUCGGAUCAGGUAGGGAUACCCGCUGAACUUAAGCAUAUCAAUAAGCGGAGGA
rnacentral:misc_RNA from 1 species